GCAAUCUUCCUAAAUAUGCACUAGAACAUGUUUGGGAGUGUUUUUGGGCAUUCGGUUCCGGCACGAAAAAUGAUGCAAAACGGGUGCAUUUCGGCACCCGAAUGCACUAUUGCCGGGUAGCGAAACUCGGGUGGAUUUUUUCACAACGAACGCAUGCAAUCUUCCUAAAUAUGCACUAGAACAUGUUUGGGAGUGUUUUUGGGCAUUCGGUUCCGGCACGAAAAAUGAUUCAAAACGGGUGCAUUUCGGCACCCGAAUGCACUAUUGCCGGGUAGCGAAACUCGGGUGGAUUUUUUCGCAACGAACGCAUGCAAUCUUCCUAAAUAUGCACUAGAACAUGUUUGGGAGUGUUUUUGGGCAUUCGGUUCCGGCACGAAAAAUGAUGCAAAACGGGUGCAUUUCGGCACCCGAAUGCACUAUUGCCGGGUAGCAAAACUCGGGUGGAUUUUUUCGCAACGAACGCAUGCAAUCUUCCUAAAUAUGCACUAGAACAUGUUUGGGAGUGUUUUUGGGCAUUCGGUUCCGGCACGAAAAACGAUGCAAAACGGGUGCAUUUCGGCACCCGAGUGCACUAUUGCCGGGUAGCGAAACUCGGGUGGAUUUUUUCGCAACGAACGCAUGCAAUCUUCCUAAAUAUGCACUAGAACAUGUUUGGGAGUGUUUUUGGGCAUUCGGUUCCGGCACGAAAAAUGAUGCAAAACGGGUGCAUUUCGGCACCCGAAUGCACUGUUGCCGGGUAGCGAAACUCUGGUGGAUUUUUUCGCAACGAACACAUGCAAUCUUCCUAAUUAGACCCUAGAACAUGUUUGGGAGUGUUUUUGGGCAUUCGGUUCCGGCACGAAAAAUGAUGCAAAACGGGUGCAUUUCGGCACCCGAAUGCACUGUUGCCGGGUAGCGAAACUCGGGUGGAUUUUUUCGCAACAAACACAUGCAAUCUUCCUAAAUAUGCACUAGAACAUGUUUGGGAGUGUUUUUGGGCAUUCGGUUCCGGCACGAAAAAUGAUGCAAAACGGGUGCAUUUCGGCACCCGAAUGCACUGUUGCCGGGUAGCGAAACUCUGGUGGAUUUUUUCGCAACGAACGCAUGCAAUCUUCCUAAUUAGACCCUAGAACAUGUUUGGGAGUGUUUUUGGGCAUUUGGUUCCGGCACGAAAAAUGAUGCAAAACGGGUGCAUUUCGGCACCCGAAUGCACUAUUGCCGGGUAGCGACACUCUGGUGGAUUUUUUCGCAACGAACGCAUGCAAUCUUCCUAAUUAGACCCUAGAACAUGUUUGGGAGUGUUUUUGGGCAUUCGGUUCCGGUAUGAAAAACGAUGCAAAACGGGUGCAUUUCGGCACCCGAAUGCACUUUUGCCGGGUAGCGAAACUCGGGUGGAUUUUCUCGCAACGAACGCAUGCAAUCUUCCUAAAUAUGCACUAGAACAUGUUUGGGAGUGUUUUUGGGCAUUCGGUUCCGGCACGAAAAAUGAUGCAAAACGGGUGCAUUUCGGCACCCGAAUGCACUAUUGCCGGGUAGCGAAACUCGGGUGGAUUUUUUCGCAACGAACGCAUGCAAUCUUCCUAAAUAUGCACUAGAACAUGUUUGGGAGUGUUUUUGGGCAUUCGGUUCCGGCACGAAAAAUGAUUCAAAACGGGUGCAUUUCGGCACCCGAGUGCACUAUUGCCGGAUAGCGAAACUCGGGUGGAUUUUUUCGCAACGAACGCAUGCAAUCUUCCUAAAUAUGCACUAGAACAUGUUUGGGAGUGUUUUUGGGCAUUCGGUUCCGGCACGAAAAACGAUGCAAAACGGGUGCAUUUCGGCACCCGAAUGCACUAUUGCCGGGUAGCGAAACUCGGGUGGAUUUUUUCGCAACGAACGCAUGCAAUCUUCCUAAAUAUGCCCUAGAACAUGUUUGGGAGUGUUUUUGGGCAUUCGGUUCCGGCACGAAAAAUGAUGCAAAACGGGUGCAUUUCGGCACCCGAAUGCACUGUUGCCGGGUAGCGAAACUCUGGUGGAUUUUUUCGCAACGAACGCAUGCAAUCUUCCUAAUUAGACCCUAGAACAUGUUUGGGAGUGUUUUUGGGCAUUUGGUUCCGGCACGAAAAAUGAUGCAAAACGGGUGCAUUUCGGCACCCGAGUGCACUAUUGCCGGGUAGCGAAACUCGGGUGGAUUUUUUCGCAACGAACGCAUGCAAUCUUCCUAAAUAUGCACUAGAACAUGUUUGGGAGUGUUUUUGGGCAUUCGGUUCCGGCACGAAAAAUGAUGCAAAAC
rnacentral:lncRNA from 1 species